GUGCUUGUUUCAGCAGCAUAUAUACUAAAAUUGAAAUGAUACAGAGAAGAUUAGUAUGGGCCCUGCGGAAGGAUGACACAGAUUCGUUAAGUGUUCCAUAUUUAA
rnacentral:snRNA from 1 species